rnacentral:lncRNA from 1 species
UCCUCAACAUACACUAAUUGUUUGUUUGGUACUCCACAUUAUAGAACAAAAUUAGAACACAUCAUCAAAAGGAAAAUUAUGAGAUAAAAAAUAUAAUCGUCGCAUGGAGAGUAGGGUUGUAAACAAUAAUUUUAAAACAUUCCCUCUAGGUACUUAGAUAAUCUAUCGUUCAUACUCUUGUCAUAACUUAUGACAACCAAGAGAUACGGAUUUCUUUUGGAAAUCACUAUUUAGACGUCUUUAGGACAUCUGUAUAAGUAUCUGCUUGAGAAGAUCAUGCCUUAUAGACACCUUCUUAAUUAUAGGAUAAAGGCUAUACAGACAUGUUCACUUUGGAACACAAAUCCAUUCACAAUACACAUCUUUGAGCUAGGAACUUGGCACUUCUUCCCCUGACAAACGCCUUCACACGGCUCACAACGGGUACUUCACGGCCUCAAACUUUGCCCUUAGAUAUCUUAGAGAUUUAAGAUCUCUGUAUCAACCUUUAACUUAAAUUAAUCAUGGUUUGAGUAUGAUUGAUAAAUAUCUGUUCCCCUUAGGGAACUAAGGUAAACUACUCACACAUAAAUAUAUAAACAAACAAACUUUUAUUAAAAAUAGAAAACUUACAUCUUUUGUUGCGAAUUCUGUUCAUGUUUCUUGAAAUUUUCUAAUCUUUCCCCUGUUAAAUAUUUUUCAAAUUCACUAAUUAUAUUUAUUGUAUAUGUAUUACUAGGUGUAAUAGGACCUUGUGAUUGUUUUUUCAAACUCUGUACUUCUUUUUUCAAUUCUUCGAUUUGUUUUAAUAAAUCUUUUUUCAUUUCUUCAUUUUCCUUCUGAUGUUUCCAUAAUUUGUAAUCUAACGACUGAUCUAAGUCUUGUAUAUAUUUCUUUCUAUCUUCUAAUUUUUCAUUUAUAAUUCGUUUUGCUUCUUCACUAAGUAUAUCUUUUUCCUUAUUUGAAAUAACAUGAUCUGCUUUCAGUAAAAUUUCUUUAUCUUUAUUUGAUAAAUUUCCUAACUUAUUCCAUAAUAAUUUAUUCGUCCAAUUAAGUUGUCUAUGUUCUGCAAAUCCUGCAUCUCCAGAUACUACAUAAGGCAUAAAUGUUGCAUGUGUAUAUGGUGGAUAUUUAAGAUAUGAAUCUAAUGGUAAUCUAUUUUCAUUGAUCUUAUAUGUACGUUCUUCUAAUUCAAGUUUUGUCAGGGGAAGAAGUGCCAAGUUCCUAGCUCAAAGAUGUGUAUUGUGAAUGGAUUUGUGUUCCAAAGUGAACAUGUCUGGAGAUGCAGGAUUUGCAGAACAUAGACAACUUAAUUGGACGAAUAAAUUAUUAUGGAAUAAGUUAGGAAAUUUAUCAAAUAAAGAUAAAGAAAUUUUACUGAAAGCAGAUCAUGUUAUUUCAAAUAAGGAAAAAGAUAUACUUAGUGAAGAAGCAAAACAAAUUAUAAAUGAAAAAUUAGAAGAUAGAAAGAAAUAUAUACAAAACUUAGAUCAGUCGUUAGAUUAUAAAUUAUGGAGACAUCAGAAGGAAAAUGACGAAAUGAAAAAAGAUUUAUUAAAACAAAUCGAAGAAUUGAAAAAAGAAGUACAGAGUUUGAAAAAACAAUCACAAGGUCCUAUUACACCUAGUAAUACAUAUACAAUAAAUAUGAUUAGUGAAUUUGAAAAAUAUUUAACAUGGGAAAGAUUAGAAAAUUUCAAGAAACAUGAACAGAAUUCGCAACAAAAGAUAAGUACAAUUUUAGAUAAUACUUAUAGUAUAAAUAAUAAUUUAGAAAUGAUUUAUAAAGAAGUUAAAAAAUCAGAUCCACCUAGACAUUAUGAAACAAUUAUAGAAACACCAGCUUAUGAAAGAUUUGUACAAAGACAAAAACAAAAAGCUUAUGAGGAUGAAUUAAAAGCAAAGAAAAAUGCUGAAUAUGAAAAAUUUAUAGAAUGGAAAAAACAGCAAAAAAUGUUGAAAGAAAAAGAAAAAAUAGAAAAAGAAGAAGAUAUACCAUUGUUUUUAAGAGAAGAACCAGUACAGAUAAAAGAAGAUACAACAUCACAGUUAUUAGAAAUGAUGAAAGAAAUCAGAAAAGAAUUAGAUGAGAUAAUAGAAAAACAACGUCAGAAAGAAGAAGAAAAAGUAAAUACUAUUCAACAAGAAGAAGAAUUAGAUCCAAAUGAUUUAGAACCAGAAAUGAUAAAAUUAGAAAUAAAUAAAGUAAAAAAAGAAGAUACUGAAGAUGUUCAGCAAGAAAUUUUAUCCGAACAAGAAGAAGAAAUUAUAUCGGAAGAAGAAAUUAUACAACCAGAGGAAUAUAUAAAUGUAAAAAUUGAGCAAGAUGAAUAUAAGUAUCAAGAUGAACCUAGAACUUAUAAACCUAGAGAUCAUUAUUAUCAGGGAGAAAUUAGAAGACAACGAGCAUAUAAAAAACCUAAUUAUAGGAGAACAGAAUAUAUAAAUAAUAGAACAGAAUAAUUUGAACCAACAUAUAAAAGUAAUUUAGAUACAGCAAUAACAGCAAAUGGAGAAAUAUUAAGUUUAGAUUGUGUAACACCUACAGAAGCAGAAGAAAGAAUCCAGAAAUGGACACAAGCAAUGAGUAUACCAAUAGUAAAACAAAAUACGAAUAAUGAGGAUACGAAAAAAUUUAUAGCAUGAACUUUUAUUGGUAAUGUAAAAGAAUGGUAUGAAAAUUUAACUGAAGAUGCAAAAAAUAAAUUAGAUGGACAGAGAUCAUUAGCAACACUACAAUUUUAUGAAUUAGCUAUAAGAGAAGAAUUUGGUAAAUUAGGAAUUAAAACUGAAGUAGAUAAACAAAAUCAGAAACAGAGAAUAGCGAGACAAAAUAUACAACAACUUAUGAUAUGCAAUAUGGCACAUGAAAAUCUUAAAGCUUAUUACUUUGAAUUUUCGGAUUAUUUCCAUAGUGCAGGAUAUACAGCAGAAGAAUUAAAUGGAAUACUUGAUUUAUUUUAUAUAAAGUUGCUUCAACCUUGGGGAGCAACUAUAUUAGAAUCAUUUAAGCAAAAAAUAAAACCAAAUAUUACAAUAGAUAGUUUAGGAAGGAGAAUGGCUUAUUUAGAACAAAGUAUAAGAGAAAAAUGUCAAGAAAAUUGGUUGGCAAAAACAGCUAGAAAAAUAGAUAAAACAAAACCAGAAUUAGAUUGUAAAUAUUAUGAAGUAGGAAAAUAUGGAUGUAGCACAUCUAGAAAUUAUAAAACUAGAAGAAAAUAUAAAAAGAAAAAAUAUAAACCUAUUAGGAGAUACGAUUAUAUAAGACAAGGAAUUAAGAAAAAAUAUAUGAGGAGGAAAAAUUAUCAGAACAAAAAAUCAUGUACUUGUUUUAAUUGUGGAGAAAUUGGUCACAUCAGUACAAAUUGCAAAAAACCCAGAAAAAUUUCAGGGAAUAAUAUAAACAAUAUAUUUUGUUACAAAAUUACGGAAGAACAAGAGAAAGUUGAAUAUCAAUUACAAGAUGAUGAUAUAUUAUAUAUCAGUGAUGAUGAGAUAUAUGAAGAAAUAUUUACAGACAAUGAAUAUAUAGAUACUGAAAAUUGGUAUAGUGAUGAUACCGAUUAUGAAAAUUAUAUAUUUGUGAUUACAGAAGAAAAAGAUACAAAUUUACCAGAAUCAAGUAUAAUUAGAGAAUAUAAUAACCCACAAGAAAGGAAGAUUCAAAAAUUAAUUUUUGAUAAAGAUAAAUACAAUCAAAUUAUUUCAAAAGAUCUAGAUUUAAAGACAAAUGAUAUUUUCAAAAAUGAUCAGAUUAAAAAAUUAUUUCAGAAAGAAAAAAUUGAAUAUUAUGUGAUUUCUGAUCAAGAAGAAGCUAUUGAUAUAAAAUAUACACAAGAAAAAGAUAGAAUUGUUAAUUUACCAUUAUAUAAUCAGAGAAUUUAUGAGAAUGAAAUUUGUAAAAUACCUGAUAAACAUAAGAAUAAAAUAAAAAAUAUUCACUUAGCAGCUACAGAUAUAAUAGUUAAAGCUUAUUUCCAUGAAGGGAUAGAUACACCAUUAGAACUUAUAUUAUGUGAAGAUAGAAUCAAAAGACCAAAAGAAGGAAGCAUAGUAGCAAAAUUAGUAGGAAAUUUAAUAUAUCAACAAGUUAAGUUUAAACAGAUUAUUAAUUAUAGUAUUAGUACAUUAGAUGAAAAUAUGAAAAAAUCAUUAGUAUUAUAUUGAAACAUAAAUGGAAUAGAAAUGGAAGAAGGUAGUAAAAUAUUUAGUAUACAAAUUAGAAAUUUAUAUGUACUUAGUGAAAAACAUAUUAUUAAUAAUAAGAAAAAAAUAUCAGAAUAAUAUAAUCAUUGAACCGCUUUUUCAAGAUGUUAUAAAAGAAAAUGAUAACAGACUUAUUAAAUAUGAGAAACCAACAAAAAAAAUGAAAAGACAAGAGAUGAUUACUUACAGCAAAAGAUUUGGAAAUAUUAUACCCUAUGACAAAGGGAAAAAUAUACAGAUUGAAGAAAGUAUAGAAGAAGAAAGGCAGUUAUAGCCAAGAGGAAGAAAUACAAAUGUAGUAGAUAUACCAAAAAUUAUACACAAAAAAGGUAUGAACCAAUUUCAUAUAAUUGGUAGAAUAAAUAAAAAUUAUUAUGCAAUACUUAUAGAUACGGGAGCAGCAAACUCCUAUAUUAGCCCAGAAAUAGUAAAUAAAGAAAAUAUACAAUUAGUUAAAAGAGAAAAUCCGCUAAUAGCCAAAAAUUGGACAAAUAAUAGUUAUCAAUUUACUGAUAAUGCAAAAUUUAGAUUAGAAAUCCAAGAUUUAGAACGAAAGUAUUAUCCAAUUCAAAUAGAAGGAUUAGUAGAUACAAUCCCAUUACUAGAAAGAGAACAACAAAUAUUAAUAGGAAUGAAUAUAUUAGAGGAAUUAAGACCUUAUUCAUUAACAAGUGACUAUUUAUCCUUAACUUUUAAUUUUAGGAAAAUUAAAAUACCUAGAAUUAAGAAACAUUAUUCAGAAGUUAUAAAAACAGCAGAACAAAUGAGUCAGUUGCAAAAUGAAUAACAUGACUUAUAUGACAAUAAAAAUUAAAAUUUCAGGAUAUAUGAGCAGAAUUUAUCAUGGAUUAUUUGAUACAGGAGCUAAUACAAGUGUUUGUAAAAAGGAAGUAUUACCACCAGAAUUAGGAAAGAAAAUGAAGAAUCUAUAUUAGCAGGUUUUGGAGCAGAAAAUACUAUUACAAAAUAUAAAGCCUUUAAUAUAAAAAUUAUGAUGUCAAAAGAAGAAUUUAUAAUCCCAUCUUUACAUGCCUAUGAAUUAGAUAAUGUUGAUAUAAUAAUUGGAUCAAAUUUUUAUAACAAAUAUAGUCCAAUAAUAAUAGAUAUUCCAAAAAGAUUAAUUCAAUUUACUAAAACAGAUAAAAAAGGAAAUCAUACUAGAUAUUUAAAUUUUCUAGUAAAAUAUCCUAAGGAAAAAAUAUUAGAGCCUUGGAUAAAAGGAAAUAGUAGUUUAACCACAACUAUGAAUUACUUGAACAAUAAACAUAUGAAAAUUGAUGAGUUAUAUUCGGUGACUGAUUACACCAAAUUAGUCGCAGACAAAAAUACAAACCAAGAUUUGGUGAAAUCAGCAUAUGAAUAUGGAUUAUUACAUGUAUACUAUAUAGAAGAUUCAUCACAGAUGAAAAUCUUUGAUGAGGAAAUACAAACAGCAUAUACAAGAUUUCGACAAAUUAGUAAAGCAACACUUAUAUAUAUGAGAAUGUAGUCAACAUUCGCAGAACCACAUGCGAAGGGAAGUAUUAUACCAAAAAUAGAAGCAAUUAAAUUCGGUAUCACAUACCAAAAAAUUAGCUAUGAAGAUGUAUAUUUUCAGAAGAACAUAGAGGACAUCAGAUCAAUGAUUCAGCAGAAGAAGGCAAUACAAAUAUUAAACAUAGCAUCAGAAUUACGAGCUAUGGAAGGAAGAAUUUGGGUAUACACAAACAAUAACAAUAGGAUUAUUUACAGUCCCAAUUGUGGACAAGUUAUGGAGACAUCAGACGAAUGGCAGAAAAAAUUAAUUAGUCCAGAAGUUAACACUCCAAAUGUAAAAUUCAAAAUCCUUGUAUUACUCAGGGAACAUUAAUUAUAAUAUGCAAGAUAGCCAGAAGAAAUAUCCACCUAAAACAUAGUUGCAGCAUUUGCAGCAAGGGCAAAGAAGUAGAAUUUUCAAAACCAAUUCUACCAGAGGAAGCAGGAAUCAGCAUUGAUGAGAUAAUGGAAGAAAAUGUAAGCAAUGACGAAAUUGCUGAAAAGGACAUAAAGAUGAAGGACGUGGACUACAAGAAAACAGCCGAAUAAAGGCAAGUGGCCGACAAAGAAAAAGUUAAAGAUAAGAUAAGAGAUAAGGAGGACAGUUGUAUGGCCAACAGUCACGGACUCCAAAGCUCUAUAGAUUUUAGUUUAUUUUUCUUUCUAUAAAUAGAAUAAUUUGUUUUUGGAAGAGGCAUUGGAAAAUCAUCCACAAUCCGGAAAUCAUCUACAAUCCGAAAUCCUCUCUACUAAUAGUUUUAAGUUUGAAGUUUUCAAGUUUUCAGCAUAUCUUGUAAGUUUUCUAUUUUUAAUAAAAGUUUGUUUGUUUAUAUAUUUAUGUGUGAGUAGUUUACCUUAGUUCAGAUAUUUAUCAAUCAUACUCAAACCAUGAUUAAUUUAAGUUAAAGGUUGAUACAGAGAUCAUAAAUCUCUAACAUAUCUAAGGGCAAAGUUUGAGGCCGUGAAGUGCCCGUUGUGAGCCGUGUGAAGGCGUUUGUCAGGGGAAGAAGUGCCAAGUUCCUAGCUCAAAGAUGUGUAUUGUGAAUGGAUUUGUAUUCCAAAGUGAACAUGUCUGUAUAACCUUUAUCCUAUAAUUAAGAAGGUGUCUAUAAGGCAUGAUCUUCUCAAGCAGAUACUUAUACAGAUGUCCUAAAGACGUCUAAAUAGUGAUUUCCAAAAGAAAUCCGUAUCUCUUGGUUGUCAUAAGUUAUGACAAGAGUAUGAACGAUAGAUUAUCUAAGUACCUAGAGGGAAUGUUUUAAAAUUAUUGUUUACAACCCUACUCGAAAGAUUUGUACAAAGACAAAAACAAAAAGCUUAUGAGGAUGAAUUAAAAGCAAAGAAAAAUGCUGAAUAUGAAGAAUUUAUAGAAUGGAAAAAACAGCAAAAAAUGUUGAAAGGAAAAGAAAAAAUAGAAAAAGAAGAAGAUAUACGUUCUUCUAAUUCAAGUUUUUCAAAUGCUUUACUUUCUGACAUAUUUUAUUCACAAAUAAACAUACAAAUAAAUUAAACCUAAAACUAACUAAAACUAAAAAAUAAACUAAAAUACGAUUAAAACUAAAUUUUAACUAAGCUCUGAUACCAAUAAUGGGGGGAUAUAUACGCACGGAAGAAAGGAUCGAAUGGAGAGUAGGGUUGUAAACAAUAAUUUUAAAACAUUCCCUCUAGGUACUUAGAUAAUCUAUCGUUCAUACUCUUGUCAUAACUUAUGACAACCAAGAGAUACGGAUUUCUUUUGGAAAUCACUAUUUAGACGUCUUUAGGACAUCUGUAUAAGUAUCUGCUUGAGAAGAUCAUGCCUUAUAGACACCUUCUUAAUUAUAGGAUAAAGGCUAUACAGACAUGUUCACUUUGG